rnacentral:rRNA from 1 species
CAGCAGCCACGGUAAUACAGAGGGUGCGAGCGUUAAUCGGAUUUACUGGGCGUAAAGCGUGCGUAGGCGGCUUCUUAAGUCGGAUGUGAAAUCCCUGAGCUUAACUUAGGAAUUGCAUUCGAUACUGGGAAGCUAGAGUAUGGGAGAGGAUGGUAGAAUUCCAGGUGUAGCGGUGAAAUGCGUAGAGAUCUGGAGGAAUACCGAUGGCGAAGGCAGCCAUCUGGCCUAAUACUGACGCUGAGGUACGAAAGCAUGGGGAGCAAACAGGAUUAGAUACCCCUGUAGUCCCUGUCUCUUAUAC